UGUAUGAUUCUAUGGUCUAAAGUUGAUUUUCUUACCAUGCUAUCCUUGUUUUGUGAUUUCUUUUGCAAACAAAACAUUUGGCAAGAGUGUUUUGUACUUUAGCUGAUAUUCAGAGACUUGCAGUAGAAUCUCUGGCUAUUAGUGUAGAUAAGUGAGAACGUGGUUCCUUUGAUUCCCAUGGUCAAUUGCAGCUCCAGGGUUUUCACUUAUUAUCUGGUAAAGAAAAAGAAAACAGCAUCUGUCUGGCAUUUUUGCUUUGAAAUAUCACAUUGGUCUUCUUCGAAUUUCAUUAGAUUUUUCACCAUUAGAACAUUUUACUUUGGAGAGAAAAAUGAUGGAGGGGUACCAUUAAUUCCCUGGAUAUAUUUUUCCAGCUAAUGUGUCAAUUUAAUUUCCAUAUCUUUUCCUCAGUUUCUCCUCUCAUUUGGUCAGACAUCAAUUGAAAUUCUCUCUCAGUUGGUUGGGACCUUUCCUCCUCCUUCUCUCUAUACUAAAUUUGAGAAGCAGAGAUAGAGAACAUUUUUUUAUAUGAUAAAGGUGUAGUAGCUUUCCACAAUGGGUGCCAAGGAGGCCCAGGUCAUACCACAUCGCAUGGUAUAUAUUUUUGUGCAGUGGAAGUCCAUAAGCCUUAAAUUUUCUUCCAAGGUUGGAUAUCCCUGUUCUAAAACAAGGCAGACAAGCAUUUUGUUUGUGAAAUUUUGUGUUCAUCCAUCUCAAGAAAAGGUGUAACAGUACUGGAAUAGAUCCUUGCUGAACUCUGUCUCAAAGUUUUUUAAGGCUCCACUUCUACUGUGUUUUUAAUUUUGCCUAACUUCACCUUGAAUGAGUAGAACUUCAAGCUUUGGCACAUUGGGCAGUGGGCUGGGAAUCUAGUAAAGCCUAGAAAAGCAAUGCUAGUGAUAGGUUUUGACAGAAAGCUUUAAAAUCUAUGAGAGUGCAUAUAAAUAAAUGUGUUAUUUUCCCUACCUGCAUCUCCCAAAAUAACUGUUAUAAUUGGUGUGCGGUCCCUGCCAAAACAAAACAAAUCAAAAUCCAGAGAACAGAAAGAAUGCCUGGAGUGCAAGUGUUAAGUACAUGUUGGCCUACUUUGUUUUAUGUCACCGUUGAUUAAGCGUGUGUCCUGAAGGGAGACAUAAAUAAUUGUAGGUCAAGGGGAAACAAGAUCUGCAAGAUGCCCUGUUUCAUCUGGGUAUGUGGCCUGCGCAUGGAAACUGAAUAACUGUUAAAAAUAGAGGGUUGAUUAAAUAUCAGACUCUCGUUGGCAGCACAUUGUAGCUCCCUGGAGUAAUGGAGGUUCGGUGGGUUGCCAAGGAAACACACAUAACCUUGAGAGGAAAGGUUUAGACUUAUAUCAGCUGGAAUAGCAUUUGGAUCAAUCUGCAGGGCCAACUUGUGUGAUUGCAAGUUGAGUGAAUGAAGAUGAAAAACUGUAAUAUUUUACUCGGUCUAGAGGGCAUUUUGUUGUCUAAUAGAAGAACAGUGUUGCAAAUAAGCCCAGCUAUUGUUGCUUAUUUCUUUCAAGUCAGUUUUCUAAUUGCAGAUAAGCCAACAUAAAAAAAAAUGACUCAAAAAGAUUAUACCUGUUCUUAUUUCUUGAGGAAAAUGAUCCAAAGCUACAUUUAACGUUCAGUGCAUUACUGUGUAUGUUUGUCUGUUUCUAUUUUGAAAGUUACAUUGGGAAUCAAAAUGUUUGAAAAGUUUUUUUUAAACUACAGUCAUAGAAAAAGACCAAAGAAAGACUCCACUUAUGUUUCUGCUCAAAACUAUUAUUAUCCAAUUAACAUAUUAAUGGAUAGUCUCUUGUGCCAUGUACUUGUGUGAAUGGAUGAAAUAUUAAUUUAGGCUCACUUAAAGCAGGCCAUCGAGUAAGGAGUUGUUGUUUUGGAAGCAUGCGAAAGUUGCGGUCUUUAGCAUGCAAUAGGUGGAAAAAUAUGCAGAGUUUUAAGAAGGCAAAAUAAAAUAUGGGUUGCAAGAGAUGAAGUAGUUUUCCGUUCAAGAUGUAGACCUUUUGUGGACUGAAUUAGUAAAUGCACUCAAUUGAAAAUAGGAGGUGUGAGAAGAAAACUAAGACAGGACUGUCCUAGAUCAGGGUGUCAAACUCGUGGCGUCAUGUCAUUACGUCACGUAUCACGACUUUUUUCCCCUUCGCUAAACCAGGCAUGGGCUUGGCCAGCGCAUGACGCAUCUGACCCGCAGGCCGCAAGUUUGACACUCAUGGCCUAGAUAGUUGCAAAUUGUAAAAUUGACUAGAACUGUAGUAUUUUAUAUUCACCACAAAGAAUGAGGAAUUCUGCAACUGGUAUUUGGAGACAAAAUACCUGUUUCACAUCCCAGACAAAAUACCAGUUUUCCCCAUCAUAGAGAAAACAUUAACACUAAUCACCCUCAGAAUAUUUGACCGUUAUGAAUUUAUUCAGAUACUUUUUAAAUCCAUCAACUAGAUCCCACAAAUUAAUUACUUUUGGACACUUAAAAGCUUGCAUGCUACUUUGUAAAUUUUCAGUUGAUGUACCAGUUCAAGGUAGAUUUUGGAUUAUUGAUUUUGGGUUCAAAAUCUAUUACCACUAUUCAGUGAACUAACCAUGAAAGGGAACCAAAAUUCUGGAGUAUGUUUGCUUUGGGUCUUUGAAAUUCCAAACACCAUGUACGUGAUUAAUUCUUUUCUAAGCUAGAGAAUUGCUUUCUGGAAUUUAUUUCUUUGUAGCAAAAGCAGAGAGCAGCUAUUACUCUAAACUGCAGAUUAAGGACCUGUCUGGAUUCUAUAGAUAUCUCAGGAGAAUGGUAAGGGCUAUUUUACUUGAGCAGAUGGCAGCUAUGCGGAAGCUUCCUAGCAGUGAUGUACAUAAUUUCAAUUAAGUCAAAAUAUUUCAUCAGUAUGUUGUCAUAGGAACAAAGAUAUUGCACUCACGUCUCUUUGAGGGAAAAAUGUAAGAAACGUUCCAGAUGGAUGUUGGAGUUGGCUGCCUGCCAGGAUGUACUUCACAAUCUUAAAUUUUGAGAAGGAGCAAAAUACAUGGAGGGGCCAAGAGGCAUCUGAGAGUUCAUCAGGGGAGUAUAUCUGGGGGUGGGGGGAAUCAAUUUUCAGAUGAAUGGAACGACUGAUUUCCCCCCUCUUCCGCUAUAUCUGCUUUAUGCUCUUGCAGCAAACACAACCAAGAUCUUGUGAUACUUUGAAAGGCUAAACAGAUUUAUUUAUUGUGACAUAAGCUUUUGUGGACUUGAGCCUGUUUUGGCAGAUGCACAGUGUUAAAGUCAGUUAGCAGAGUGCUAUGUGUGUUACAUAUCUCACUCCUGUUCUCUCUCCCUCUGUGUAUAUGUGAGAGGUUCUAUAAAGAGAGCAAAAGGCCAUCGGAUAUAAAAGGCAGCUGUCACUUCCUAGAGCCCAAAUGUGUGCAAAAUAAAACAAGCGAUUGUUCAUAUUGGCAGGAAGCAACGAUGGAACUCGGGGUCCAAUUUAAACCCAAACUGAAUAUAAUGAUUUCGGCUUCUACUUGUUUAGCAUCGAAAGUAUAGGAGAAAAAAGAUUCUUGUAAUCCGGUUCAGAAUCCCAGUGGAAUCUUCAUGACAGGCACAAUUUAACAUAUUGGCAUGAGUUUUUGUAGUAUCUUCCUCCACCUUACGCAUGAAAUCAAUACAGAAGAUUAGAGGGUCUCUGCAUAUUCAUGAACAUGGCCGAUGUUGUAGGGGAGAGAAACAUUUGGAUCUGUAAAACAGAUAUUUAAAUGCAUCUUCCUGUUUUUCUGGCCUCAGCAAGAGAGAAACGUAUUGUCGUAUGCUGCUCACCAAGCUGGCUUGCGCUGCUGAAAACACGACUCGCAAGCAAAGCACGAGGUUGUAAACAGGUUUAAUUCUCAUUUCUCAGUGUAGUCACAUACGAACGUUAGAAAUAACACAAAGUCAGCGUUGGGGUCGGGCGCCUCCCAGUGCCUUUUUAUCCAUGUUCAAAUUAAGCCGGGAGUGGCCAUAGCCAAUUGGCAUUACUUCCUGGCCCAGCCCUUCUCUUUGCGGUGGCUGGGAAUGCCUCCCCUUCCAGUCAUUCUACCCUGUCCCGGCCGCGGGGUGACCGACCUCUGAUUCCAGGCUUAACACUUCCCCAUCACCAAUGUGCAAAGCUGCAGCCAGCGUAGACACCCCCCCCAUCACCACGGUGCAUCCAGCGGGAACGUCGUUGUUCGGUAGGAUUCCCUCCUUCAUCGCUGGAUCUGCGGUGACUCCCCCUCCCCAUUUUCUGUCGAGUUGACUUGACACUCGACAGGCGGCCCCCUUUACCAGGAGUCCACCUGCAAGACAUGAAAGAGAAAGGUUAGAUUACAGGACCGGGUUUCUGUGGGUUGGUUUUAUGAUACCAUCUUAAAAGCCUUGUGGCGUUUAGGUCUGUUGCUGCCACCCAGGACGCUUCCACUAAGGGAUACCCAUUCCAUUUGACCAGGUAUUGUUGUCUGCCAUGACGGACCCGGGAAUUGAGAAUCCCGUCUACUUCGUAAUGGUCAUCCCUUAUAGUUCGGGAGGUGGGAUAUUUACCUGGUUGUCCACCGGCUUUAACAAACUGCAGUGGAAGACGGGGUGGACCUUUCCCAGAUACGGUGGCAACUGCAGGACCACGGUAACCAGGUUGACCACUUUAUGAACCCAGAAUGGACCUAGGUACUGAGGACUUAGUUUCUUGCCUGGGGUUUUUAAUCGUAUGUAUUUGGUGGAGAGGUACAGCUGAUCCCCUACUUGAAACAGUUUAUGGGUAGCCCGCUUCUUAUCGGCAUACGCCUUAUAUUUGUCCAUUGCUUUGGCUAGUGCGACUUUUACUUGUGGCCAUACUUUACUGAUACAGCUACUCCAUUCAUCUGGGGACACUUGUUCCUUGUUCUGGUCAUCUAAUUCGGGAAUGGCCCUAAAUUCUUUGCCGGAGACAAUUUUGAAAGGUGUGGUACCUAUACUUCGAUGGACUGUAUUAUUAUACGCUAUUUCAGCAAAAGGCAACAGGUCUGCCCAAUCGUUUUGUUGAUAGGACACGUAGCAACGUAGGUAGCGUUCCACCAUGGCGUUAGACCGUUCCGCAGCCCCAUUAGUACUAGGAUGAUAGGUGGUACUUAGACCUUGGGAGGAGCCGAUUGCUGUUAGGAAGUUGCGCCAAAAGCGGGCGGUGAACUGAACGCCCCUAUCCAAGAUGAUUCGUGGGACACCAUGUAGCCGGUAGACAUGUUGGAUGAACAUCCUUGAGAGUUUCCUAGCCGAUGGCAACCCGCUACACGGAACAAAAUGAGCCUGCUUAGAAAAGAUGUCCAGAUGACGGUAUUCCCACUACUAUUGGAAAGGUCUACCACAAAGUCCAUAGCGAUCUCCUCCCAAGGUUCCUUAGGGUUAGCUACUGAUUGUAAAAGUCCCAAAAGCCGCCCAGACCGUGGUUUUGUUGUUGCGCACAUUGAGCAUUCUUUUACAUAUUGUUUGAUAUCUUUCCGCAGUUAUGGCCACCAGAACUGACGUCUGGUCAAAUGUAAUGUCUUGAGGAAACCAAAAUGACCGGCCAGUUUUGAGUCGUGACAUUGCUGUAACACUGCUCACUGUAAAGCCGCCGGUACAUAGAUGCAAGAUCCCAUCCAUGCAAUCCCAUUUCGGUGUGUCAAUAUCGAUUUUUGGGUAUGAAACCAAGGGUCCCUGCCCGUCUCGUGACGUAGGUCCGUUUGCCAUGAGUGUUCUCUAGUAUUCAAGCAGUCUUCGCUUAGGCCUUUCGGUAUCAUCGCCUGGACAACCUCUUCUCUUUUGCUUUGAAAUUGAGGCAUUCACGACAAAGUGUCCGCCAGAAAGUUCUGUCCUCCAGGCACAUAUUUCAGGUCGAACUUGAAGCGCUGGAAAUAUUGGGCCCAAUGUAUCUGUUUUGGGGACAACUUCCUCGGCUUUUGGAGGGCCUGUAGGUUUUUAUGAUCGGUCCAUACCUCAGAUUUGGUACCAAUCCCCUCCAAGAGGUGUCGCCAAGUAAGUAAGGCCCACCGGACUGCGAAAGCCUCUUUUUCCCAGGUUUAAUUCUCAUUUCUCAGUGUAGUCACAUAUGAACGUUAGGAAUAACACAAAGUCGGCGUUGGGGUCGGCACCUCCCAGCGCCUUUUUAUCCAUGUUCAAAUUAAGCUGGGAGUGGCCAUAGCCAAUCGGCGUUACUUCCUGGCCCAGCCCUUCUCUUUGUGGCGGCUGGGAACACCUCCCCCUCCAGUCAUUCUGCCCUGUCCCAUCCGCAGGGUGACCGACUGCCUCUGAUUCCGGGCUUAACACCUCCCCAUCACCAAUGUGCAAAGCUGCAGCCAGCGUAGGCACCCCACCACCACCACGGUGCAGCCAGCGGGAACGUCGUUCGGUAGGAUUCCCUCCUUCAUUACUGGAUCUGCGGUGACUCCCCCUCCCCAUUUUAUGUUGAGUUGACUUGACACUCGACAUGUAUGCCAUAAUCUUUUUUUCAAUUUUUAUUUCAUUGGUUUGCAGUUUCUGAUCUGUCUUUUUCUGCAAAAAACAUAUCUACUCCAUGUUUUAUCUUUGCCUAAUAAUUACUUCCCCUUGCAGUUGCUUCUAGACUGAAGUCUGCAUGCUUUUUACUCUGUCGUCCAUGAAAAUGGAACAGAAAUAAUAAGCAAGUUAAUUACUGUUUUCCGGUUUAUGAUCUAGAAACCAUAAAAGAAAAGGAGGGAAAGCACAUGUAAAACUUGCAGCUGUUUAUUCAAUAGAUUUAAAUCCUAAAUUUCCACCAAAAAUAGCACGUGAGAGACAGUUUACAACAAAAUUACGGAAGAGAUACCUAUAAAAUAUGUCUCUUUAUAAGAUUAACAAAUUAAUAGAAUAACAGAGUUGGAAGGGACCUUGGAGUUCUUCUAGUCCAAUCCCCUGCUCAGGCAGGAAACCCUAUAAUAUUUCUGACAAAUGGUUGUCCAAUCUCUUCUUAAAAACUUCCAGUGUUGGAGCACCCAAAACUUCUGGAGGAAGUCAUUCUCCACUGAUUAUUCUGUCAGAAAAUUUCUCCUUAGUUCUAGGUUGGUUCUCUUCUUGAUUAGUUUCCAUCCAUUGCUUCUUGCCCUACCUUCAGGUGCUUUGGAAAAUAGGCUGAUCCCCUCUUGUUUGUGACAGCCCCUUGGAUAUUGGAAGACUGCUAUCAUAUCACCCCUAGUCCUUCUUUUCACUAGAUUAGAUGAACCCAAUUCCUGCAACUGUUCUUCAUAUGUUUUAGCCUCCAGCCCCCUAAUCAUCUUUGUUGCUCUUCUCUGAAACUUUCCAGCAUCUUUUUCAUAUUAUGGCAACCGAAACAAGAUGAGGUAUUCUAUGUGUGGUCAUACGAAGGCAUUAUAAGAGCAUUAAAGGCAUUAUCAAUGAAAAACCUAUCAAAAUUUGGGUGCAGAAUUUAAUUUAAAUUGGAAACUGUUUUGGACCAUUGUAUUGUACAUUAGAAUUGUGCCACAUGCCACACUGAAAAUUUGGGUUCUACAGCUCAUUUUUUUCCCCAAUAAUUUUUUAUUUUUAAACAAAAAUAAAACAUAAAAAUUCAAAGAUACCGGCUGAACACAAUUGAUAAAGCAAGAACUUUCUAUGACCAAUUUCUUAGAGAAAAAGAAAAGGAAUGCAAUUUGAAAUCCAACCUGUAGUCCCAAUAAAAUUUACAGAAUUAGCAAUACUCAAGUCGACAGAGGGAGCAAUUGGGGGAGCUAUCCAACAAAAGGAACAACGUGAAGUAAGAUCUACUAGAGCAAUAAAACCUACAUAUAAAGUAUGAAUAUGGAAGAAAGGAAAUUAAUUUCAAUAAAUAUAAAUGGACUUAAUUCGGCUAUUAAAGGAAAAAAAGUAUUCCACAAAUUAGAGAAACUAAAAGCUGAUAUAAUUUGCUUACAAGGGGUUCUACAGCUCAUAUUUUGACUUGGUGCACAAUUUAUAGUAGUGGUGGAAUGCAUUAUCUACUGCUUAUAGAUUUAUAAUGACUUGAAUAAUGCUAAUUAAGCUCAACAGACUUGUGGAUUUUGACUCGAAAAUGAAGGUGAAAUAACUUAUGUCUUUAUAUUUCAUACUUCUUCACUGCCCAUCCCACUCAGAGAGGGGCAUAUUAUACAAUAUGCUCCUGAUGAUGUAUUGGAUUAUAUUAGUUAUUUGAUAUUUCAGAUCUGUUGUUGACACACCCAUAUUUUGGUUCCUGUACCUGAUUUUCUUUGUGUUCCUUGUUUCUUAUAUUCUUAUAUAGAUAAUAUUAAUGGGGGGGGGGGAAUAAGAAACAAGCAACAGUAUAUACUAGAUUAAAACUAGUGCUCUGAGGAGAAAUUGUCCUGUUUGUUUGCUACCAGUUCCCAUUUGAUCUAAUUUAAAAAAAAAACUGCUUUCCAACUUUGUUUCAAAAGCAAAGAACAUUAGAUACAUUAAUUCCCACAAUAGAAUAAUGGAAGGUAAAGUGAUGGAGUUGGCAGAGAUGGCAAAAGUGUCUGUUUUCAUUAAAGAGAAGAACCUAUCUA